ACUGCGCCCUUGUUUGGACAAGACGAGGAGGCGCACUCAGAGUCAGAGACCCCGGGGCAGAGACAGGGGCAAGAAGAAGGGGCCACCGAGACCCCAAGAGAGUCAGGGAGACAGACGCACCAAACGACCGACACAACCAGGGACAGGUUCAAGCAAUUCUCCUGCCUCAGCCUCGCGAGUAGCUGGGAUUACAGAUAUCCUUCGAGUUGGAUUUCGACUGGGUUCUGCCAGUGGGAUGUAUCCAUGCGAGAUUCUGGAACUAACAUCAGAGAGAGUCCAAGCUUCUAACUUUUAUCAGCGGCAGUGACAAUAGUCAAGCAGCAUUGAUGACAAACGGCAAGAGUUUAGAAAGUACCAGUGACGUGCCUGAUAGAAUCUCACCACAAGAUGGAAGCCAACUCGUCAGAAGCCUGGAAAGCCCACCCAGCGUGGGACCUCUGUGGGUCCAGGAUCUUGGAAUGGUAUCCCAUGGUUCAAUCUUCUGGAUUCAACCACAUAAAUUUACCCCACCCAUGUCGUGGACCCAAGCUUCCUACCAUGUAUACUUAGCUUAAAUGCAAGAUAGUACUAUUUUGUUCAUCUUGAUUGGAGUGAGAAAUGAAUAGGUCCAUGCACAUAUAUUUCUUUUACCACAACAAGAUGAUGAAGAAAUAAAUCCAUAAUAUCGAUA
rnacentral:lncRNA from 1 species